rnacentral:rRNA from 2 species
UGGGGGAUAUUGCACAAUGGGGGAAACCCUGAUGCAGCGACGCCGCGUGAGGGAAGACGGUCCUCUGGAUUGUAAACCUCUGUCUUCGGGGACGAAACGAGACGGUACCCGAGGAGGAAGCCACGGCUAACUACGUGCCAGCAGCCGCGGUAAUACGUAGGUGGCAAGCGUUGUCCGGAAUUACUGGGUGUAAAGGGAGCGUAGGCGGGCAGGCAAGUCAGGCGUGAAAGAUAUCGGCUCAACCGGUAGCUGCGCUUGAAACUGCAGGUCUUGAGUGAAGUAGAGGUUGGCGGAAUUCCUAGUGUAGCGGUGAAAUGCGUAGAUAUUAGGAGGAACACCAGUGGCGAAGGCGGCCAACUGGGCUUUUACUGACGCUGAGGCUCGAAAGUGUGGGGAGCAAACAGG